AGGAAAAAUAAUAAUAAUAACUAGGGCCCCGGUGGGGCACUGUCGGGCCCGAGCCGCGUCGCGCCGCCCCCAGCGCGACCGCCUCCCCCUCCCGAUCGCGUCACACUCAAGGUCCAAAGAUGGUGUGCGCACUUGUCUGUGGUCAUUUCCCAUUAUAAUGAAUGGGAGGCGCAGUUUCUACCAAAACACUCGCUGCAGACAAACUACAUGUCCUAUUUGAAAAAAGUCUGGACCAUGAGUGAGGGCACAAACACAGCUAGGAUAUAUCCAAAUGGCAAGUUGCUCCUCCUUACGGUGUUGCCGGGAGAGCGAUGCGAUUGAGCCAUUGACCGAUGGGCAUGGUUAACUUGACUUUUUCUCCUGCCUUGGGGGGGGGGGGAUGUGGAUUCUUUUAAGAAUGUGGAUAUUUGGGUCAUCUUUGGCGCCCCCUAGAACGUAAACCGUGGGGCGCAGCGUCAUGAUUUCUACAACUUUGAAUGGCCAUGGGAUGUAGAUCGGCUUGAGCAAAUUUGGUGUUGGUGGGACGAAAGCCUUAGGAGGAGUUAGCCACAUUCCAAUGUGUGCGAAUCGGCAAAAAAUGCGAAAUAGCCCUUUAACCGUACAUUUUACAGAUACGUGCCCAUUGAUAUUUUCGUAAAUCUUAUUGAGAUACACGUGUGUGUCAAAUUUUGUGUCAUUUUGACAAAGCGUAUAGGCGUGACAGUCAACAAUGUGUUUUUUCACCUUAGGGGACAAGAAAAAAUUGACUUUUUUCUCCUGCCAUGGGGGGGCGCUCUUUUUCGGGAGUAAAAAUUCCUUUACAAAUGUGUUGAUGGCUGGACAUUACAUCAUCCUAGAGAACUUGGAGGCCAGUGAGGAAAAAAAUAAAAAGUUAUAAGACUUUUAAGAAUGUGGACUUUUUGGUUAUCUUUGGCGCCCCCUAGAACCUAAACCGUGGGGUGCAGCGUCAUGAUUUGUACAACUUUCGAUGGCCAUGGGGUGUAGAUUGGCCUGAGCAAAUGUGGUGCCGGUGGAACGAAAGCCUUCGGAGGAGUUAGCGAAAUUUCAAUGUGUGCGGAUCGGCAAAAAAUGCGAAAUAACCCUUUAACCGUACAUUUGACAGAUACGCCCGCACUGACUUUUUUGUAGAUCUUAUUGAGAUACAUGUGUGUGUCAAUUUUUGUGUCAAUAUGACAAAGCGUACAGGCGUGACAGUCAACAGUGUGAAUUUCCACCUUAGGGGGCGCUAUGGAGCCAUUUUGCAUUUUAUUGUUUGGGCGACUUCAGAAUAUCGAAUUUUUCACCAGGCCCGGUCGUCCUGCCAAAUUUCAUGAGUUUUCGCCAGUGGGAAGUGGGCCAUUUUCCAGUUUAAAGCGGAGGAAAAAUAAUAAUAAUAAUAAUAACAAAAGAAGAAUCCAUCAGGAACAAGAGGGCUCUCGCAGCUGCUUAGCAGCUACGCUCGGGCCCUAACUAGGGCCCCGGUGGGGCACUGUCGGGCCCGAGCCGCGUCGCGCCGCCCCCAGCGCGACCGCCUCCCCCUCCCGAUCGCGUCACACUCAAGGUCCAAAGAUGGUGUGCGCACUUGUCUGUGGUCAUUUCCCAUUAUAAUGAAUGGGAGGCGCAGUUUCUACCAAAACACUCGCUGCAGACAAACUACAUGUCCUAUUUGAAAAAAGUCUGGACCAUGAGUGAGGGCACAAACACAGCUAGGAUAUAUCCAAAUGGCAAGUUGCUCCUCCUUACGGUGUUGCUGGGAGAGCGAUGUGAUUGAGCCAUUGACCGAUGGGCAGGGUUAACUUGACUUUUUCUCCUGCCUUGGGGGGGGGGCGAUGUGGAUUCUUUUAAGAAUGUGGAUAUUUGGGUCAUCUUUGGCGCCCCCUAGAACGUAAACCGUGGGGAGCAGCGUCAUGAUUUCUACAACUUUGAAUGGCCAUGGGAUGUAGAUCGGCUUGAGCAAAUUUGGUGUUGGUGGGACGAAAGCCUUAGGAGGAGUUAGCCACAUUCCAAUGUGUGCGAAUCGGCAAAAAAUGCGAAAUAGCCCUUUAACCGUACAUUUUACAGAUACGUGCCCAUUGACUUUUUCGUAGAUCUUAUUGAGAUACACGUGUGUGUCAAAUUUUGUGUCAUUUUGACAAGGCGUAUAGGCGUGACAGUCAACAAUGUGUUUUUUCACCUUAGGGGACAAGAAAAAAUUGACUCUUUUCUCCUGCCAUGGGGGGGCGCUCUUUUUCGGGAGUAAAAAUUCCUUUACAAAUGUGUUGAUGGCUGGACAUUGCAUCAUCCUAGACAACUUGGAGGCCAGUGAGGACAAAAAUAAAAAGUUAUAACACUUUUAAGAAUAUGGAUAUUUGGGUCAUCUUUGGCGCCCCCUAGAACGUAAACCGUGGGGUGCAGCGUCAUGAUUUUUACAACUUUGAAUGGCCAUGGGGUGUAGAUUGGCCUGAGCAAAUUUGGUGUCAGUGGGACGAAAGCUGUAGGACGAGUUAGCCACAUACCAAUGUGUGCGAAUCAGCAAAAAAUGAAAAAUAGCCCUUUAACCGUACAUUUUACAGAAACGUGCCCAUUGACUUUUUCGUAGAUCUUAUUGAGAUACUUGUGUGUGUCAAUUUUUGUGUCAAUAUGACAAAGCAUACAGGCGUGACAGUCAACAAUGUGUAUUUUCACCUUAGGGGACAAGAAAAAAUGGACUUUUUUCUCCUGCCAUGUGGGGGCGCUCUUUUGGGGAGUAAAAAUUCCUUCACAAAUGUGUUGAUGGCUGGACAUUGCAUCAUCCUAGAGAACUUGGAGGCCAGUGAGGAAAAAAAUAAAAAGUUAUAAGACUUUUAAGAAUGUGGAUUUUUUGGUUAUCUUUGGCGCCCCCUAGAACCUAAACCGUGGGGUGCAGCGUCAUGAUUUGUACAACUUUCGAUGGCCAUGGGGUGUAGAUUGGCCUGAGCAAAUGUGGUGCCGGUGGAACGAAAGCCUUCGGAGGAGUUAGCGAAAUUUCAAUGUGUGCGGAUCGGCAAAAAAUGCGAAAUAACCCUUUAACCGUACAUUUGACAGAUACGCCCGCACUGAC